GAUGUAGACAAAGCAGUGACAUUUAAUGCCUUCUUGACCUCCACCUUCAACGCCGAUGAUGGGCCCUGGUACCCCAGAGCCCUGAGUUGGAGGACUGUGACUGAGGUAAUGAUGAACAGCCAGACAACCCCAAACUUGUCCAGGACUUCCUGCUCCAGCUGGAUGCAUGUAAGACUAUGGGGCCUGAUCAGAUUAAUCCCAGGGUACUCAGAGAGUUGGCUGAUGUUGUUGCAAGACAUCUCUCAAUUAUUUUUCAGUGGUCUUGGGAAUCCGGAGAGGUCUCAGUCAACUAGAAGCUGGCAAAUGUCCCAGUUUUGAAGAAGGGCAAGAAAGAAGACCCUGGCAAUUACAGUCCUGUCAGUCUUACUUCAGUGCAUGUAGGUACAAAGAAGGACCAAGGCCAACAUGCUCCAUGGAUUGUUGCUUCAGCAAAUCCAACAGAUCUCAGCACUCAUCUCUAUGUGUUUCAGCCCAUGACAAAGUGAGUACCAUGUUGUGUUGCAUGGGUACACUUACAGAGCACCCACUUGUUCCUCAAACAUGGGCUACUGAGUAAAGACCAUCUGCUAUUAAAUAAUAUCAUAUAAAAAUAAAAUUUGAGCAUCCUUUAACUGUUCUCUCAAGACAGAAAAAGGAUAACAGUUCCCCAGGUGCCAGAGGCCUGACCCAAAUCCAGCUGAGGAGAUGUCUUCAGAUCUGAUUGUCUUCACUUCAGCUGGAUAGAAGAGCUCCAUCCUGUUCAGUGUCUGAAUUAAGGUGAUUGAAUUAAGGCAGCUUUUGGGAGCUAAUGGAAAACAGAGUUUUGAGAGAAGAGAGGAAAAAGAACACAAAGCUAGUCUACUAAAGAAGAGCAGAAACCUAGGCAUCUGUAAUCCUGAGCCUCAGAAAGAAGAUGAACAUUGGAAGAAGUUGGAAGAAAGAGUCUGGAGUGUUGUCACUUGACAUUCUGUAUUUAGCAUUUCCAUUUACUGUGCUAAUGAAGUGCAUGUAACAAGAACCUCUAUAGAUUAAAGUGGCUGUGAGGGAGCUAUGCUAUUGUUCUUCUGUGCAAAUAUGCGUCUGCAGAGCCGUGCAAGAAAGCAGAAGAGGUUAGACAAUGAUCAGUCUCUCAGAUAAAGUGCUAAACGGAUGGGAUGGAAGGAAAGGAACAUGUAAUGAAAUCUGUCCUUCAGAUGCGCUCAGCCCCAGGGCUGCAUUGGCUACGUGUGCACAGCGUGCAAACUAACCAAACCCGUGGAGGAACCGACAAGCCCUGUGUGCAGCACGUUGUGUGUCACUGCUGCAGCCAUUGCUGGAGGAAGGCAGGAGGCAGCAGACUUCAAGACAGCAAAGGACUGGACAGCAGGUUGAAAGAAAUGUAGCAGGAAGGAGACAACUAUGUGAAGGAAUUAGGCAAGCAGAAUGUGCUUUGUAAUUAAGGUGUAAUAAGGGAUGUGGCACAUUUAGUAUCUCCGGCAGUAGGAAAUGCUGCUACCUAAUAAGAUAUAACCGUAGAGAUUGUACUAAUUGAUGUUAUAAGGAUCAAGAGAGUGACUUUUUUUCUUGAAUCUAGGUGACUUUUGACAGCAUUCAUUAAUGCUGAGAUACUGCUGCAGUCAUGUUUCAGAAUGAAAAUUAUAAUUAGCCCAAGUAACAGUAUGAGUGAAAACAAAGGAAUUUAUAGAGCCAUAUACACACGGGCAUAUGUACACUCCGACACAUGCUGUGCAUGCAAAUAGUUUUGUACAACGGUUUUUAAUGUAUCCCACUUUGUUUCAGCUCUUUUCAGUCGUGUGGGAAUGUGUUUUUUUCCCCGCUCAGCUAAUCACACAAUUCAUGUACUCAGCCUCAAACUAUACAUUUUAUGACAAUAAAAUACAGAUCUUCUAUGUUUUCUGGAAAUACUUUACCUACAUUUUGAAAGUUCUCAGACAAGUAAACCAGAGAACAGGUAUAAUUUUGCAUAAAAACCUUGUGCAACUGGAAUCACAAUAAUAAAGACAGUUUGUUUGGCUAUAAAUCAUUUAAAUACUGUGUUUGUUUAUGUAUCACAAACAAAGACAGUCCGAAUGAUAAAUCAAAUGCAGAACAAGAAAAGCUUCUGGGAUAACAAUUAUAAUAGGAACAGAAGGUCAAUUCCAAGCAAUUUCUGCCCUAGUGAAAUACUAAAGCCUUCAGAAAUCAGUUCCUAUAUGAUGCUGGAGGCAGGUGUCUUGCAAAGAUUGUGAGAGAAGUGGGUCUGCCAACAAGUGUAGAAACAAACCGUACAAAUGUUACUUUAUCAAAUGCCUCAUUUACAGAAAGUUUAAAACAUCAGUAAGGUAACUAAACCCUUUGAAAACAAAAUCUUUGAAAGUAAGAAACCUUUUUGCUUAUAGAAGGAAAAAGUUGGUGACAUAAGGAAUGCGUACUGCCUAUUGCAUGCAAAAUAUGUAACAGGUAAUGAGUUUAUAGUAGUUUGAGUUUUAUGAGCUUUUGAAACAGCAGGACUGCAUGAUGUUACGUAUUUUGGUUUUAGAUCUGGAAUCUAAGCAUAGAUUGCCUCUGAAUGCAACCUCUGAAAUGCUGAACGUAUUAACCUUGUAUUCCUGAAAAAGGAUCAAAUGCCUUCGAAGCUUCUCUAGGUCAGGUCCUAUGCCAUUUCUGUCCUGGGACACAUUCAAGUCACAUGCUUUGAAUAUCAGAGUUGGAAGUCCAUUAGCAGUAGCCUUCUAAAUUAUUUGUCCAGUGAGAGUUAUAAAACCCAGAGGGCAAUUUGGACUGCAUUUAGGGAUGACUGGUAAAUCAACCCGAAAUUUAACAAUUCAGAUGCAAGUUGAAGAAUAUUUCUGCCCUAAUUGAAAUGAAGAUCAAAAUAAUAAAACUUACUGUCAUGUCUGAACCUUGGCAAUUGUCUAAAUUGAAGAAUUAAGGCAUUUUGUUUCCUCUGUGGGCUAUUUUUCCCAUCAGAAGCAACUCCCUACAUCUUUUAAGCCAGAACUAGAACAUGCAUUUUAAGGUGGGUGGUGGUGGUUGUUUUCAAGAGCUUGCAUUAAUGUUACUUUCAAAGCAAUGUGAGUAGGAGUCUAGCCUAGGCCAACUGCACUCACAGAUGCAUUUCGUGUACAAUAAGCUUUAGUUUCACCUUAUUGAUGCUAUUGAAUAUACAUCUAAAGGCUUGUUGUUUACCUGUUGACUACUAUUAAAGUUUGCAAUUAUGAAAGAUGUGCAUUUUCUGAUUUGUUUAUAUUUCUAAGAACCUGUGCUUUUCACACUGUUAACGUGAAAAUCACACCUAUUAAUAUGGCCUCCUACACUAAAAAUAGAACUUAAAGUUGUGGUCAGAUUAAUAAUAUAUUAUCAUUAGCUCCUUUCUGAUUGUGGCCCCAUGCAGAAAUGGGAUUUUCACACUGUAUAGAUAACAAUCUGAAAUUCACAGUGGCAUUGAGGUUUCCAGUUUCUUUCCUGUUUGAAAUGUUUUACUAUGGGGAAGAGUAAAAAGAAAGUGGAAUUACAUGACCGGCCCUCCUCUCAG